rnacentral:misc_RNA from 1 species
AAGUCGUAACAAGGUUGCCGUAGGUGAACCUGCGGCAGGAUCAUUACUGAUCAAAAAAAAGUCGCAUUUUGCUUUCUUUCGAGAGAGCGAGAUUCGCAACUCGCUUGGUGUGUGUGGAGAAACCCUUUCGUCUUUUACCGUACGAAGGUCUUCUCUGCGCGUGGGGAAAGUUUUGUCUCGCGUACGAAACUUUUUUUUUCCCAACCAGGCACCCACAACAAAACAAACAAACAAACAAACAAACAAACAAAAAAUAUCGCACCUUCGGUGGAUCACUCGGCUGGUG